GGCCUCCUGGUGCUAUCCCAAGCUGGGUUCUUCCACUGACUGUACAGAAUGAGGAGGUUUAUAAACUCCCAUGUGCACCUCAGCCUAGGCCCUGUGCCUUAUCUGUAUUGUGCAUGGGAACACACAA
rnacentral:snoRNA from 10 species